rnacentral:rRNA from 1 species
AUGAGAGCCCUCUCCGAUGAGUUAGCUGCCGCUGGAAAGCCCAUCACCGACCAAGAACUUCUCUCCUUCAUCAUUGGGGGGCUGGAUAUGGACUAUCAACCUCUCAUAUCGGCGCUGGAUGUGCGCGUGGAACCCCUGCCCGUGGAUGAUCUCUUCGGCAUGGUCGCUAACUUUGACCAACGCGUUGAGAUGUUCCAAGGAACGGGGGCAGGAGCCUUCAAGUCAUCUGCAAAUCUUGCUGCUCGAGGCCGCAGCGGGUCUCCCCAAGGCUACCGCAAGGGUGGUGGUGGCGGGGGCUCUCGCGGCGGCGGCAGCUAUGGUGGUGGCGGUAGCAGCGGCGGCGGGAACAACUACAACACCGGCAACAACCACUACAACAACAAUGGCAACACCGGCGGCGGCAGUGGUGGUGGCGGCGGCCACCACCAACGCAACAGCAACAACUACAACUCCAACAACACCAACCGGCGCCCCUUCUACAACAACAACAGGGGACGCCCGUUCCAAGGUUACGAUGAGUAUGAAAAUAAAUGUCAAAUUUGUAAAAGGAAUAAUCAUAUUGCCAAGGAUUGUGACUAUCGCUAUGCCGAGAACAAUUCCCAACGCAAGAAAGUUGCAGCAGCUGCAGACACCUCAUACGGAGUGGACACAAAUUGGUACAUCGAAUCCGGCGCCACGAAUCAUAUCACCAACGAGCUAGAGAAGGUCACCAUGCACGAGAAAUAUCAUGGCCAAGAUCAAGUCCACAAUGCAAACGGUGAAGGUAUGAAGAUAGAUCAUGUUGGUCAUGCAAUUGUCACUACCCCUUAUCGCAAUAUUCAUCUCAAAAAUAUUUUGCAUGUCCCACAAAUUGAAAAAAAAUCUUCUUUCUGUUCACCGCAUUGCCAUAGACAACAAAGUUUUUCUUGA